ACUAUCUUUCGUCUCCAUCAUCAGACUUUAAUGGCACUUGUAACUCAUAUAGGUGCAAAGUUCUCAUCAAUAGAAACAAAUUAAGUUCAAACAGCAGGUAAUUGCUUUAAAUUGUUGAAGAGUUCCCUCGACUAUCUUUCUUCUCCAUCAUCAGAUCGACUCCAGACCUUUAUUAAAUAGUAGUGCUUUAUAGUACUUAAUGAAAACAUGAUGAAAUUUACUAGUCACCCUUACGAUUUUUGAAAGUUUCCCUCGAUUUCUCUGGGAUUCCAUCAUCAGAUCCUGGUUUCCUUAUCAUGGUACCAAACUAUGAAUAUCUCCUUUCCAACAAAAAAAGAAUUAUCAAAAUCGGUUCAUAAACGAAGAAGUUAUCUCCGAACAUACAUAAAAAAAAAAUAUAUAUAUAUACGGUCGAAUUGAGU
rnacentral:misc_RNA from 1 species